CAUCGAUGAAGAACGUAGCGAAAUGCGAUACUUGGUGUGAAUUGCAGAAUCCCGUGAACCAUCGAGUCUUUGAACGCAAGUUGCGCCCGAGGCUAUUUGGCCGAGGGCACGCCUGCCUGGGCGUCAUGCCU
rnacentral:rRNA from 8 species